rnacentral:lncRNA from 1 species
CUUAAAGUUAAUUUUGGCACUAAGUAUCCCGUCAUAUUUACAAAUGUCCUGCAUAAGGCUUAUUCCUCUCAAACUCCUUAUGACAAAAAUGGAAUGUGGAAAACAUGGAUCAGCUGUUGAUGGCUUUAUAAUCCAGUUUAAAAUACAACAUUGCUGUUACUAAAUCAGUGUUUUCUUCCUGUUGGUUAACUUUGUCCCAGCAGGAUGUUCAUCAUGCACUGCAAAUCUGCAAGACUCAGAGAAUAAACAAGAUGAAAAGAGAAGGCUACACUUGGUCUAAUAAAGGUGGGGACCAGUGUGAACCAGUAGAGAUAGCAUUAACCCAGAGAAUCUACAACUGGCGCCAGAAACCCACUAGAAGCCUGGACUGCUCUCUCAUCCCCUGUUCCUACCCCAACCCAGGAGAGCUGAGAUGGUGGCAGAGGGGAAGAGGUAUGAAAGAGGACAGAUCUCUAUCCCACACACUGAAAACCUCAGGCCUGAGCUGAAGCGGAAGGGAGACUGGAGGACUGGGGUGGAGAACAUAUUUCAGAAUGAACUGGUACGGACUUUGAGCAACGGAGAAGGAUUAGAGGGCUGAGAAAUCUAUCUGAGAUAUAACUAAGGAAUAGCUAGGAAAGUAAAAAAGAUUGAUUAAGGCAAUAAUUCAAAUAAAAAUAAACAAAACAAAAUAAAAUAAAAUUUUGACCAUAAUGGACCAAGUUCAG